CUGACGGAGCAAUGCCGCGUGGAGGUGGAAGGCCUACGGGUCGUCAACUUCUUUUCUCGGAGAAGAAACAAUGACGGUAUCUGAGGAAUAAGCAUCGGCUAACUCUGUGCCAGCAGCCGCGGUAAGACAGAGGAUGCAAGCGUUAUCCGGAAUGAUUGGGCAUAAAGAGUCUGUAGGUGGCUUUUCAAGUCCGCCGUCAAAUCCCAGGGCUCAACCCUGGACAGGCGGUGGAAACUACCCAGCUGGAGUACGGUAGGGGCAGAGGGAAUUUCCGG
rnacentral:ncRNA from 1 species